CUCUGUUGUGCCUCCUCGACUUUCCGCCACUCCACCAGUUUUUUGGAUCCGAUAGCUCCAGCCUGACGGAGUGUUGCUCCGGCCUGGGCCUCUUGAACUUGAAAAAGCUGAAAAAGCUGGCUUGACUGACACCUGAGCACCCGCACAGGGCGACUCCUUAAGAAGAGUCAUUAGCAGCGGUUACACUGGAUGACUUUACAACUAACACCACAAGGCCCCAAGCAGAAAUGUGAUGAUGCCUCAGGUUCAUUGGUGCUGAUGGAUAUGGAGAAAGAGAGAGAGAGAGAAUCACCACACCUCCGACACCUGCGUGCUAGAAGUUGUCUGGGUCAGUUGGCUUGAUUACAACACUGUUACCUCCCGACAUUAAAAAUAACUCUGCAUAUGCUUGGAUAUAAAAAGACAUAAUUCAGUAAGGCACUUCCAAGCAAUCAGUAACAGCAGAUUGAGUCUUGGAGAUGGACCCGAUGAACAGGCAAAUCCCUCGAGCCAGGGCAGAAAAGGCCAGGGAUUCCCAUGAGAGGAAAAUGCUGACAGUAAGCAAUAUGCCAUCUUAAUAAAUGGCACCAGCACUGGCCA
ensembl:lncRNA